UACGAAGGGGGCUAGCGUUGCUCGGAAUUACUGGGCGUAAAGCGCACGUAGGCGGCUUUCUAAGUCGGGGGUGAAAUCCUGGAGCUCAACUCCAGAACUGCCUUCGAUACUGGAGAGCUCGAGUCCGGGAGAGGUGAGUGGAACUGCGAGUGUAGAGGUGAAAUUCGUAGAUAUUGGGAAGAACACCGGUGGCGAAGGCGGCUCACUGGCUCGUAACUGACGCUCAGGCGCGACAGCGUGGGGAUCAAACAGG
rnacentral:rRNA from 1 species